AUUAUUAAAGGUACGUUUACACGCUGCGAUUUGUCGGGCCGAUUUUGCUCGCUGCAUGUAAAUAACCUGUCGUCAGUACUCGCGUCAGCACCUUGCGAUUCACAAAAUCGGGAGAAAAAUCUGUAACAAAACCACAGAUUUUUCUCACGAUUCAACGAUUUUUCUUCCGUUGUAAAGUUGUUGAAAACUUUUCGCACGCAGAAAACUAUAACAUGAACAGACGAGAGAGCGGACAGCUUCAAUUGAACUUUUAAAUCGCUAAAUGUCGAAGAAGGGGCAUCGAUUAUUUACCAAAAUCGGCCCGACAAAUCGCAGCGUGCAAACGUAGCUUAACAACUCGGUAGGUUGUAGCAAACUGUACAAAGUUCAUGUUCAUAAUACUUUGAGAGUUGUCAUAUUGUUGACGGUUAGCGUAGACGUCAAGAAGUGAAUUAUCAGUGCAAGAAUCGCCAUCCUCAAUAGAUGCAUUGUCACGUACUCUACGUGAACCGUUUAGACUCACUGGAAUCACUUUAAAUGAUGAACUGUGUAGUUUCAG